rnacentral:rRNA from 1 species
GACCUACGGGGGGCAGCAGUGAGGAAUAUUGGUCAAUGGACGAGAGUCUGAACCAGCCAAGUAGCGUGAAGGAUGACUGCCCUAUGGGUUGUAAACUUCUUUUAUAUGGGAAUAAAACAGGGUAUGCAUACCCUCUUGUAUGUACCAUAUGAAUAAGGAUCGGCUAACUCCGUGCCAGCAGCCGCGGUAAUACGGAGGAUGCGAGCGUUAUCCGGAUUUAUUGGGUUUAAAGGGUGCGCAGGCGGAAGAUCAAGUCAGCGGUAAAAUUGAGAGGCUCAACCUCUUCGAGCCGUUGAAACUGGUUU